UGUUUAUAUAAUCCUUGAGGACGGUGCAGGUGAAGAGAUUCGUUUUUUGGCGCGCGGGGGGAGGCACCGGAAGAACUAUCACGGUAGUGAGGCUCCAGCCUCCCUGUGACCUUACAAAGGACAAGCAGUUUGGAGAAAGGACAGAUGGAUGUUUCUGCUUACCUGUCGAGUCAUAGGUGGGAGGUACCACACAUUGCACACGAUGGCCCAGCUUGUCAUCAUCCUGAGGAGGUAGCUCACCAUGUUGUACUUGGCACUGUUCCAGAAGGCAUCUCCAAACUGAGGGUCAUACUGAAAGAGAGAAGUACAUGAGACAUCCUCAUUUCACUCACCGUUGGCUGACUGUGAUGGCAGUGCUGCCUGUUCCUUCUGUCCUCUUUGGAUCCUGAGAGUCGCCCACUGCCACAGAUCACAAGUUUAUUUUCAGG